GCGGCGGCGGGAUGGAGGGGCUCAUCCCGCUCGUUAACCGGCUGCAGGAUGCCUUCGCGGCGCUGGGCCAGAACUGCCUGCUCGACCUGCCGCAGAUCGCGGUGGUUGGCGGGCAGAGCGCCGGCAAGAGCUCUGUGCUGGAGAACUGCGUCUCCAGGGAUUUUCUUCCACGAGGUUCUGGAAUUGUGACAAGACGACCAUUGGUCCUGCAGCUCAUCACUGCUAAAACAGAGUAUGCUGAAUUUCUACACUGCAAAGGGAAGAAAUUUACUGAUUUUGAUGAAGUUCGUCAGGAAAUUGAAGUAGAAACAGACAGAGUAACAGGAAUGAACAAAGGCAUUUCUUCAGUUCCUAUUAAUUUAAGAAUAUAUUCUCCACAUGUCUUAAGCCUGACCCUUAUUGAUUUGCCGGGAAUCACUAAAGUGCCAGUGGGGGAUCAGCCUCCAGAUAUUGAGCAGCAGAUCAGAGACAUGAUAAUGCAGUUCAUCUCCAGAGAGAACUGCCUGAUCCUGGCUGUGACUCCAGCUAACACUGACCUGGCCAACUCAGAUGCCCUGAAGCUGGCAAAGGAAGUGGACCCUCAGGGCCUUAGAACCAUCGGUGUAAUCACAAAAUUGGAUCUGAUGGAUGAAGGAACAGAUGCAAGAGAAGUUCUAGAAAACAAACUCCUCCCUCUUCGUAGAGGUUAUAUUGGUGUUGUAAACAGAAGCCAGAAAGACAUUGAUGGGAAGAAGGACAUAAAAGCAGCUCUUCUAGCAGAAAGGAAAUUCUUUCUUUCCCACCCAUCCUACAGGCACAUGGCAGAUCGGAUGGGAACACCAUAUCUCCAGAAAGUUCUAAACCAGCAACUUACCAAUCAUAUCCGGGAUACCCUGCCAGCUUUCAGAAGCAAACUCCAGAGCCAGCUGCUUUCUAUAGAACAUGAAGUAGAGGUAUAUAAAAACUUCAGACCAGAAGAUCCCACCAGAAAAACAAAAGCCCUGUUGCAGAUGGUACAGCAGUUUUCAGUCGACUUUGAAAAAAGAAUUGAAGGAUCAGGAGAUCAAGUUGAUACACUGGAACUUUCAGGAGGUGCCAAAAUCAAUCGUAUUUUCCAUGAACGUUUUCCCUUUGAACUUGUGAAGAUGGAAUUCAACGAGAAGGAGCUGAGGAGAGAGAUAAGUUAUGCCAUCAAGAACAUUCAUGGGAUCAGAACAGGUUUGUUCACUCCAGAUAUGGCGUUUGAAGCCAUUGUUAAAAAACAGAUCGUUAAGCUGAAGGGACCUUGUUUAAAAAGUGUGGAUCUGGUGAUGCAAGAGUUAAUCAACACUGUCAAGAAGUGCACUAAAAAGUUGGCAACAUAUCCAAGGUUGUGUGAGGAAACAGAAAGAAUUGUUGCUGGCUACAUUCGUGAAAGAGAAGAGAAAACCAAGGAUCAGAUGCUGCUGCUCAUUGAUAUCCAGGUUUCUUAUAUCAACACCAACCAUGAAGACUUCAUUGGCUUUGCAAAUGCCCAACAAAGAAGCAGUCAGGUUAACAAAAGUGCAGUGGGAAAUCAGGUCAUCCGGAAAGGCUGGCUCACCAUCAACAACAUUGGCAUCAUGAAAGGAGGAUCCAAGGAAUACUGGUUUGUCCUGACUGCAGAGAGCUUGUCCUGGUAUAAAGAUGAUGAGGAAAAAGAGAAGAAGUACAUGCUGCCUUUGGACAACUUGAAAGUGCGAGAUGUGGAAAAGAGCUUCAUGUCCAGCAAACACAUCUUUGCACUGUUUAACACAGAGCAGAGGAAUGUUUACAAGGAUUACCGUUUCCUUGAGCUAGCCUGUGACUCCCAAGAGGAGGUGGAUAGCUGGAAGGCAUCUCUGCUACGAGCCGGUGUCUAUCCUGAUAAAUCCUCAACUGAAACUGAAGAGAAUGGCCAAGCAGAUAAUUUUUCAAUGGACCCCCAGCUGGAAAGACAGGUGGAGACAAUUCGAAAUCUUGUGGACUCCUACAUGUCCAUUAUUAACAAAUGUAUCCGAGAUCUGAUCCCGAAAACAAUCAUGCACCUCAUGAUCAAUAAUGUAAAAGAAUUUAUCAAUGCAGAGCUGCUGGCUCACCUGUAUUCUUCUGAGGACCAGAACACUCUGAUGGAGGAGUCGGCGGAGCAGGCGCAGCGGCGGGACGAGACCCUGCGCAUGUACCAGGCGCUGCAGGAGGCGCUGGCCAUCAUCGGGGACAUCAGCACCAGCACCGUGUCCACCCCUGCUCCCCCACCUGUGGAUGACUCCUGGCUUCAGCAGACACGCAGAUCACCUCCUCCAAGUCCUUCAACUCUGAGGAGACCUACCUUGAACAAUCCCCCCACCAGACCUUUAUCUGGCCGAGGACCUGCUCCUGCCAUCCCCUCUCCAGGCCCCCAGUCGGGGGCUCCCCCAGUCCCGUUCCGGCCGGGAGCUCUGCCUCCAUUUCCCAGUGCUGAAGCCCAUGGAGGACCCCCCCAGGUUCCCUCUCGGCCCAGCCGGGCUCCUCCCAGCGUGCCAAGGCAUCUUGAAAGGCUGUCUUGAAACUCUCCUGUCCCCCGCGAGCUGUGUUGGAUCAGUAGAUGAGGGCACUCCGUGGCUCCCCUAACAACAGUGGUAAUCCCAUUAGUUGGCAUCAUGGACAAGAAGAGGUGCAACUCCAGCUGGAGGUGACAGCCAGGACAUUUGCUCCCCUUCUUGCACCAAGUCGAAGACCGCCCCCUUCACCUACUCGGCCCACUGUAAUCCGUCCGUUAGACUCCUCCCUGUUAGACUAAAAGGAGUUUCUGGCAUGUCACUCGUUGUUAACCAAAUCUGUGGAAACAAAUUGCUUGGUAACUGUCACAAUAACCAGUGUAUAGUCGCAUGUAUGGACAUCUCUAGGCAAGUAACCAAUUUUACUGAUAUUCUCUGUCCAUUCCGCAUUGUUUAUGAGGUCUUCAAUGUUUGGGGAAGGUCUGUGCUGCCUUGACUUUUCCUUCUGCAAUAACUGAUGUUAGCUAACUUACUGACACAUAUCUCCACCCAGACAACUGUGCUCACAGUCCUCUAUAGCAAAUGGAGGGCUUGACUCUGUGUGUCUUUGUGCAUGUGUUGAUUUGAUCUGCUGCUUUUUUUCCCCCUCUUACCUGAAAGGAAUCUUGCUUUUAUUUGUACCUUCUAGGUUUUCUAUUUUCUCUUGUAAUGGCUAAACUGGGCAAAGAAAAGCCAUGUGGUUUCUUACCAAGCUCUUCUGAAGGCCCCACACUUCCAGAUCUCUCUUGCAAGAGGCUUGCUUCUCCUAUAAAUUGUCCUUAUCCAAAAUUUAGUUCUAAGAAAUGUUGUUUAACGAGCAGGGUGUGUGUGGGACAAGGCAUGUUUUGCUGUAUUCCCAUCCUGGCAGCUGCCAUGCCAGGUUGGUUGGGUUGGUGAGGAGCAGGCUGGGGACAGGGUGGUUUGGAGGGCUGGGGUGUGACACAGCAGCGUGUGCCAGCUCCCUCUGUCCCUGCUCACACUCCUGCUCCCACUGCGCUCCUGGGAAGCGUGGGAGGGGAGUGAGUGCAUGGAAAUGGGCUGUGUGCAGGAUCCAGGGAACUGAGCACUGCUUUUGGUCCCUUUGUGACCCAGAAGGACACAGAGAGACAGAUACAUGCACAGCUGGGCUGGGUCCCCCUCCUGUGCCCACUGUGAGAGCUCCAGCCUGGACUGGCAGCUGAGCCUCCCAAGGGCCAGGUUUGGAUGUGAGAUAUUUGUGAUAUUUUCACAUGCCAGUCAGUAAAGUUUUCCUGUGUCCCCUGUGUAAAGAUUUUCUUUUUGCAUCACACGGUCCUUGCACACACCUUGGUUUACAGCUAAGUUCUGGGAAGUGCUCAGCUGUGCAUCCUGGAUUAUUUUAGCAGCUGCUCACUGGCAGAGGUGCUCUCUGCCUCUUGUUUUGCACGUUAUAAAUUAAUGCAUUAUAAAAACCUUUUGUCUUAACUGCAUUACUUCACUUUAAACACUUAGGGUCAGUGUCACCCUUAAAGCUUAGAACUUAUUAACAGAAUGAAACUAGAGAGGAAUUUGGCCUUGUUCCUUCAGAAAAUAUGAAUUGCUGCUAUUAAAAUUAUGGUUACAGAUCCCUUGGCAAAGCAAUUGGUGAUUUCAAAGGCCCCCAGUACAAUCAGUCUAAUAAAUGUAUUUAUUGAGACUGCUUGUAGGGCUCCAGUAUGCUGUAGCCCCAUCAUUAGGAAGAAUCCAAUCAAAGAGUCACAACAAAUGGGGAUUUAGCCUGUUAAUUCCCAGGCUGCUGAUUAGCUGUGCUCACCAGUGCAGCAAAUCAUGUUUCAGCCUGCAGAAGAGAGACAAGCUUGGGAAAGCAUCCUGAUUUGUGUGCUAGCUUAACUUUCAUUUCCUGUCCACCCCAUACUUGUGCCACAUGCCUGGGGAGUCUGGAGGUCACAUGUGAGGUUGCCAAGUGCACAGAAUCAGCUUUCAAGGAAAAGGUUGAAAACACAACCACAGUCAUACUAAUUUUUAGUACAAAAAAGAAAACAUAUUUUGAUGAUUCUUCUUGUCUUCUACACAGCUUUCCACUGCUUAGUGCUCUCUGCUGUAACCUGUGCUGCAUCUGUUGGAUAUAAUUUUGUAAACAGCCACAGUAUUGUUGCCUUGCCAGCACUCCUGUGUAUCCAAACAGUUUAACAGAACUCUGUUACUGACUGGCAGCUGCCUGCUGAUGGGAAGCCAGGUUUAAUGCCUGAGCCACAGAGAUCACUGAUAUCACUUCUGAUAUCAGAAUAUCAAAGUCUGAUACUCACUUGGUGAUAGAAGACCAGGAUGGACAGGUCUUUCAGCAGCCUGGUCUAGUGGAAGGUGUCCCUGCUCAUGGCAGGGGCUUGGAACAAGAUGAGCUCCAAGGUCUCUUCCAACCCAGCCCACUCUAGGACACUGCAAGGCCACUGUCUGGGUUUAUCCCACCACAGCGCAAGGACUCAGACUAGUUGUCCUUUGUCCAGAAGAGCAUGACCCCCAGGAGGUGAUCCAGGCCUGUGUGGCUGCAUGGAACAGGAGGGCAAUGCUGGUAAUCAGGAGCCUCAAUUACAUGGCACAGCUCCUGGCCUAAAAUGGUCUUUUAAAUGCUCUCUACUUGAGACUCCUUGAUUUACUUUAUUGACUAUUUCUGCCAAGCAUAAGGAAGUAGGUGGCACAACUGAGCACUGUCCUUUACUCUGCCCCCAAGAAACUAUUUCUCAGCAGUAAUCCUGAAUUGUAAAUAAAGCUCUCAAGGGUGGAUUUACCUGAAAGAGGAGGAGGAGGAGGCACUGAGGCGUCAGCACCAUCUGGUCCUGUGCUUGAUGCUGAGGGUGCAGGACACAGCUGCACAGCCCUCCUUCCUCUGCAUCCUCAUUCAGAUCUCAUUUAAAUCUGGCCCUGUGCCCUAAAUGCAACACUUUUAGGUGUGCAGGUUAAUAAAAAACCAUAAGCACAAAUCCAGGGUUUGAUGAUUUCACCUCUUCUUGCGUAUGUGCUUGUGAGAAUAAACCACAUAAACUUGUUUCUAGGAAAAACACUUGAAUGCUUCCCAAGAAAUUGCCACAUCCAGUUGAGUAAGUACUGUCCUCCAGCCUUGGCCCACUUCCUUCUGCUCUAGAGUGCCUGGAAUGGGUUUGUUUGUCCCACUAACUCCUGAUGCUGGCAAGUCCCGUCCAUCCCGUCCCUUGUUCUUGGAGGAACAGCCUUGGCAGCAGCUCCCUCCAUGCCCAAAGGAAAGCAGGACAAGCACCCUGUGGAUCUGCCAGAGGGACUGAGCACCUCUGCAGAGCCACUUAGGUGGGAUGAGCCAGGUCUGAGCUCCGUGUUUGAGUAGCACAGGUUGCUCUGCCCUUCUCUGCUUCCCUCUGGCACUGCUCUGGUUGCCAGGGCAUAGUGGAGCAAUAAUGAAGCAACACCAGAGUUUCUCAUCUUAGGUGAGGUGCACAAAGAUCUAGGUGGUGUAGUUGCUAAGUUUCAGGAGGGUGCUUAGCUAAGACUGCAUUUAGGCUGAGCCUGGAUCUCUGCCCAGGGAACAUUUCCACCUCACCCCGCCGUGGCUGACCAGCAGCUGAAGAGCUUGUGUGUGCUGUGAACAACUCUGGGCCUGGGAUCUCAAGGGAUCUUGUGCUAGGGUUAAAAAGAUUGUAUGUUCAACAAAAAGGCUUAUGGACAUAGUUAAUGUGUGUUUAUUUUAUUGCUGAUCUUGUUGCACUUUCUGAGUAAGCCUCCUAAAAGUAGAUUAUUUAUUAUAUUAAAGAAGAUACAUUAUAGGUUAUGGCAUUUCAUGUUCAAGUAUAACAUAGAAAAUAUUAUCCUCCCUGUUCCAGACAGCUCCACUAACCAUGAUGUGUACAGCAUAUUGAAAUUCCUGACUAGUUCUGUCCUUCUGUCUUAAAAUAGUCCACCCUCCUGAAUCGAGAGCAGACCUGCUUUGUCCCUGUGCCACCAGGGAGCCUCCCGGUGCCCUCCUGGCACAGCUCCUCCUGCUGUGGCGCUGCCCCUGCUCCCAGGCUGGUGCAGAACAGCUCCUUUGUGUAAAUGAUUGUUACUCUGCCUGUCUUUCCUCUUGCUUUGUCUGCAGGCGAGCUGAUGCCGACGGCUCCUCCCGCCCCGACAGCCCUCCACUCUUGCUUGAUCUAUGAUUUGUCCCACCUUGCCGGCCGUUUGCUUUACUGCUGUCUCUUUACUUUUCCAGGACAGGCUAAACGAUGACUUCUUUUUUUAAGAAGCAAACGCUUAAUUUCUUUCUGAUUUUUUUUUUUUUUUGCUCUGUAUGUUAAUGCCCUACUUCAUGUGAGCCAAAACAUCUGCCUUUGGUUUCGUAAUCUGUAAAUGGUUCCUGGUGUUGACCUUUGAGCACAGCGAGUGGAUUCCCGAAACCAUGGUCAUCAAUGAGCAUCACAUACACCUGCUGUAAAAAUGUUAUGCUGCAUUUCUGAACCUGAAAUAAACUGUCAUUCUUGA